UCUUAUGGAUGAUCAAAGGCAAUGGUUUUUAAGAUGGAAUCUGCUCCUGGUGAAGGUGCUGUGAA
rnacentral:pre_miRNA from 1 species